rfam:Triticum aestivum genome assembly, contig: Triticum_aestivum_CS42_TGACv1_scaffold_345491_4DL
UAUAUACUCCCUCCGUUCGGAAUUACUUGUCUCGGAAAUGGAUGUAUCGAAAGCUAAAAUACGUCUAGAUACAUCCAUUUAUGUGACAAGUAAUUCCGAUAGGAGGGAGUACCCC